rnacentral:lncRNA from 1 species
UGAUUUGAUGUGGACAGAAUCUUCUGAUUCCACCAAUUCUUCAGAUACAGAAUCUGUAAGUUCAAAAGAUAAUGAUAAUUGUAGUUGUCCAAUAUCAACACAUAAUGUUCAUACACUUACCCAAGAAGAUAAUUUUAUUUUAGAUAUUAUUGAUAAAAUUAUUGAUCCAGAAGAAAAAAGAGCUGUCAUUACUCAAUUCAUUAUUAUUACAAAAAAUAAAGCAAAAU